ACGAAGGGUGCAAGCGUUACUCGGAAUUACUGGGCGUAAAAGGUGCGUGGGUGGUUUUUUAAGUCUGCUGUGAAAUCCCCGGGCUCAACCUGGGAAUGGCGAUGGAUACUGGCGAGCUAGAGUGUGUCAGAGGAUGGUGGAAUUCCCGGUGUAGCGGUGAAAUGCGUAGAGAUCGGGAGGAACACCAGUGGCGAAGGCGACUACCUGGACCAGCACUGACACUGAGGCACGAAAGCGUGGGGAGCAAACAGGA
rnacentral:rRNA from 1 species